GGAAUAUUGGGCAAUGGGCGAAAGCCUGACCCAGCAACGCCGCGUGAAGGAAGAAGGUCUUCGGAUUGUAAACUUCUUUUAUGAGGGACGAAGGACGUGACGGUACCUCAUGAAUAAGCCACGGCUAACUACGUGCCAGCAGCCGCGGUAAUACGUAGGUGGCGAGCGUUAUCCGGAUUUACUGGGUGUAAAGGGCGUGUAGGCGGGAAAGCAAGUCAGAUGUGAAAACUAUGGGCUCAACCCAUAGCCUGCAUUUGAAACUGUUUUUCUUGAGUACUGGAGAGGCAGGCGGAAUUCCGUGUGUAGCGGUGAAAUGCGUAGAUAUACGGAGGAACACCAGUGGCGAAGGCGGCCUGCUGGACAGCAACUGACGCUAAGGCGCGAAAGCGUGGGGAGCAAACA
rnacentral:rRNA from 1 species